GACAGGUGGUGCAUGGUUGUCGUCAGCUCGUGUCGUGAGAUGUUGGGUUAAGUCCCGCAACGAGCGCAACCCUUAUCCUUAGUAGCCAGCACGUGAAGGUGGGCACUCUAGGGAGACUGCCAGGGAUAACCUGGAGGAAGGUGGGGAUGACGUCAAAUCAUCAUGCCCCUUAUGAUUUGGGCUACACACGUGCUACAAUGGCGUAAACAAAGGGAAGCGAGACAGUGAUGUGGAGCAAAUCCCAAAAAUAACGUCCCAGUUCGGACUGUAGUCUGCAACCCGACUACACGAAGCUGGAAUCGCUAGUAAUCGCGAAUCAGAAUGUCGCGGUGAAUACGUUCCCGGGUCUUGUACACACCGCCCGUCACACCAUGGGAGUCAGCAACGCCCGAAGUCAGUGACCCAACCGAAAGGAGGGAGCUGCCGAAGGCGGGGCAGGUAACUGGGGUGAAGUCGUAACAAGGUAGCCGUAUCGGAAGGUGCGGCUGGAUCACCUCCUUUCUAAGGAA
rnacentral:rRNA from 1 species